CCUGUAGAGUGAAGUUAAUACCCGAAGUUUGGAGUUAUCUUCCGUUGUUUGCUCCUUAAGCGAUGGAGCGGCGUGGAGCGCGGCUUUAAGACAUGGAGGACCGACACACGUGCGGCCGAGAAUCGAGGCAUCUGUCGAUGCGCGCUGCUCUGAGUUGUAAAUGCACGUAGGGAUCGAAGCGACAGGGGCAAACCAGUCCAAGGAACGGCCUCCGUUGAUAGAACGACAUCCUUUACGCAAACCACGUAGUGAGCCAGAACGAGUUUUUUUUAAGAUACGGAGGGAGUAGUUUAGUCAAAUUAGUACAUCAGGAGUCUGCAUUCAUUAAGGGUAGUUUGGUCUUCGUUGAACUGUUUUUAAUAGCCUUUAGUCACUUUUAGUCACUAGAACAAACUGAGGUGACUAAAGUUUAGUUAUUCAUUUUAGUAGCUAAAUUUUAGUCAUGUAAAAUCAAACAGACCCUAGUUAUUAAAUUUUAAAAAGCUUAGCACCUUCAUAAGUGAGAUAUGCACUUAUUUAGUUAUUUCUGCUUAUUUAGGACAAUUCCAAAUCUGGAGCACAUCCACCUUAGAGCAUCUAUUGGAGAGCUCCACGGUGAAUCUGUGCAGGCGGCGUCAUUCUGCGGAGCCCAUUUGUGAGAGCUCCUUCUCCUUCUUUGGCCCACUGACAGCUGGGCCCGUAUGUCAGAGUCCUCUUCCUCACCUAAGCAGAGCAGCACGACGGAGGUAGGGCCAAGAGCAGCCGGUGGCGGGGCUGGCGCGACCGGCGCAAGGCAGCCGUGGCCGGAGACAAGGCCGGAGCUACCAAGCGCGACCGGCGACGAGCUCGAUGCGGCCAAGCGCAUCUAGGGGCGUUGUUGGGGCGGGCGCGGCCUUGGCCGGCGCGAGUGCGGCCAUGGUCGGCAGGAGCGGGAGCGGCGGAGCGACUAGGGGCGCGGUCACGACCGGCUCUAGCAUGGGAGCAGCCAGGGGGCGCGGGAGCGACCGAGCGCGAUCAAGGACAGGGCCGACACGGCCGAGUCUGCACGACCGAUGGCGUGGACGGGGUCCAGUGCUACCGGCGCGGCUAGGGGCCAGCGGGAGCGGCCGUCGGUGGCCAUGGCCAGUCCCGGCGAGCGGCAGGGAUGGACCUGCGUGGCCAUGGAUGCGCUUCGGUGGCUUGCGAAAGAAAGAGAAGAGAGAAACGUACCGCUGUUUUCCACUAUCAGGCCUUGUUUAAUCACACAUUUGGGUACCAUAAACCGGGAUACCCAAAUUAAGAGAAUUAAAAAUGGCAAAAAGUAGUAAAAGCGACGCCCGAUUUCUUGGGCUCGGGCGCAAUUUCCGCCUCGCCAUAUGCUCCACUGCUUGUGCAGGCCCCCGUCAAUUCCUUUGAG